rnacentral:rRNA from 1 species
UACAGAGGUCUCAAGCGUUGUUCGGAUUCAUUGGGCGUAAAGGGUGUGUAGGUGGCGCCGUAAGUCGGGUGUGAAAUUUUAGAGCUUAACUCUGAAACUGCAUUCGAUACUGUGGUGCUUGAGGACUGGAGAGGAGACUGGAAUUUACGGUGUAGCGGUGAAAUGCGUAGAGAUCAUGAGGAAGACCAGUGGCGAAGGCGGGUCUCUGGACAGUUCCUGACACUGAGACACGAAGGCCAGGGGAGCAAACGGG